rnacentral:lncRNA from 1 species
CGGCACCCGUGGAAUGUGAAAAGUAUGGUGGAAAUAGGAAUAAACUUUAUUUUCUGUUUGGGAACCGCCUUUGAUAUAUCUAGCAUGGAAAGUAAUGGGAACUACUCGAUCAUUUUCGUUGACAUGAAAGGCAUGCCACCCAAAAUGUUGUAUCUCUUAAUUUUUUGCUUUGAGCUCUAGGACCUCUACAAAUCCCUACUUCCUUUUGCGAAGGGCCUUUCUUUUUUACUUUAUGCAAUUUUUAUUUUGAGUCUCCAUCUUCUCUUGUAAAGCACCAACUAAGGGGCACUAUGAUCGUACUUGAGCAUUGGGUGUAGCUAAUAUGCGAGUGUGUUUCAUGAAUAGAUCAAUGAUUGAGCAUAAUGGGCUAGGGAUAACUUGCUUUAGUGUUGAUAUUUUGAAACACAUGGUUGCUUGUUGAUAUGCUUGAGUAUUGAAAUCCUCAUGUCAAAACUAGAGUAUUGCUUUGAAUCAUAUAGAAGUCCAAAUGUCCAUGCUAAAAAAAAAAGAAUAUGCGAUGAACAUCGUGAUGGUUCGACCUCCCCUCGUGGUUCGACGACCUCGUUCGAUCCCCCCGCCUCGUACGCCAACCAUCCCCACCCCACGAUUCGACCUCUUUCUAGUUCUACUGCGCGAUUAAAAAGGAAGAAAACAACCGCCGGUCCGCCACCCACGCACGGAGUCCCACACAUCCCACGCACAUCUUCCCAAUCCAUCUCGCCGCUGAGAAAGAUCGCCGCCCCGCCCUGUCCUGCUGCACGCUCCUCUGCCACGACUACUCGAUGAGCCGCCCUUCUUGAUCGCUGUCCGUGGCUCGUCUCGGUCGCUGUCGUGUGCCUCGACUUCUCUGGUGGUUGGGGUCAACGGUGUAGGCGGAGUCGCAACCCGCGACAACCGUAGAAGCAGGCUCCAUCGGGGAACGCGACGGGAACCUGCCACCGGAGACGCUUCAUGAUGGUUCCAAGCGCGCGGCAGCUAUCCGGACGCAGGCAUCGCGUGCGAGCUGGCCUAGCCACGGGAAACCCUCUCGGCCAGCAGCAAGACUGGCGCCAAUAGCACUUCCUCUCCAGGGGUCUCGCACGGGAGCUAUAGGACAGUGUGGCACAGACUGUGGCUGCACCGGUGAUCUCGCAAUCGCCGUCCACGGUGGUGGAGGCGAGACCGGUGUAGGCUGCUACAACUCUGAAUCUCGGUCGCAGGCUGGUGAGUACCGCCUUCUUCGAGGACCCCCCCAGCUUGCUUAUAGUAAUCCGAUGAUCGACCAUUAGAGUCAUUCUGAUGUGGCAUGGCGUGCACGCUAGAUGUUUGCUCAUAUGCUUAUGUUGUCUAUGGUAGGUUCUUUCCACUGAAUGUUUUUACCCCUGCGACUCUGCUCCCCCGGGACGAUCUCCACUAGCACUGUUGCCGCCUCCUCUCAGCCUUCGCAAGCAGCAGGUGGAUGCACCAGUCACCGACGAUGCUUGCUAAAACUCCACAUGUUGUGGUGGCGACGACGAACUCGCCUACAUGUGCACGGAGACAUCUUCUAGCCCCUUGUCAAGGCAAGUCACAACCUAAGGCUUGAUCUUCGAUCUUGGACUGGUGUUUGAUCUGUAGCUAAUUGUUUAUAUGAUGGAUAUGUGCAGGGCAAGGAGCAGACUGAUUUUUUUGUACAACCUGGCUUCUUCUAGAAAGGGUUUGCGUUCAGUUUAUGGCUGGUUGUUGGGGUACUGGAUGAUGCACAGGGACGGGUCACCAAUGCUUUCUAUGAUCCAUGGAACGGUAAUGACUGCCUAAUUCACAAGGGAUGGAUUUUGAUUGUUAAUAUAAUUCAGUACUGUAUCCAAACUUUUCUGAAUCAGUUAUCUGUGUAAUGUAUCCAAAAUUUUCCGAACCACUUUUCUGAAUCAGUUAUCCGUGUGCUCUAUCCAUGUUUCGAUUUUGGUGUGCAAACAAAUUAGAAUGAAAAUGCCUCCAUGUCAACCAUGCAUUGGUUGAAUAUUAAUUUUAACCAAUAAUGUGUAGCAUAUGUCAUUCAAAAUAGAAGCAGCCAAACAAAUUCCAAAGGUCUACAUGGUUCGUUGGGCAUCUGUCAUUAAUACUGAAUUUUCAGUGAGAGCUACCUCGCAGUGUAGUAUUUUUAACCAAGAUAUUUGUUUUGUUCCAUUACCAACUGAGCAUUUCAUAUAUUGUUAGGUGACAAAGAUGCAGCUCCAAAAAAAGGAAAUAGAGAUGGGUUCAGAUAUCGUGAGACAUAUAUUGUCAUGUUAGGAAUAUUUAUUAGGACUCCAUUCAGUUAUACAUAUAAAAGAUGACUGCUUCUGUAUUUUCGCCAAUCACUACUGCAAUCAGCUAAUUUGCCAUCUGCCAGCUCUUUGCCGUCUGCUAGCUGACGGCAAAGAAGCUCUUUGCCAUCAGCUACCCAAAAGCAGAUGGCAAAGAAAUGGCAGACGGCAAAGAAGCUCUUUGCCGUCCGCGAGCUCUUUGCC